rnacentral:rRNA from 1 species
AAGUCGAACGGUAACAGGAAGCAGCUUGCUGCUUUGCUGACGAGUGGCGGACGGGUGAGUAAUGUCUGGGAAACUGCCUGAUGGAGGGGGAUAACUACUGGAAACGGUAGCUAAUACCGCAUAACGUCGCAAGACCAAAGAGGGGGACCUUAGGGCCUCUUGCCAUCGGAUGUGCCCAGAUGGGAUUAGCUAGUAGGUGGGGUAACGGCUCACCUAGGCGACGAUCCCUAGCUGGUCUGAGAGGAUGACCAGCCACACUGGAACUGAGACACGGUCCAGACUCCUACGGGAGGCAGCAGUGGGGAAUAUUGCAC